AUACAAAACGUUGUCAGUUUUUCCAUUAUCUGAAAUACAAAACGUCUCCCUUCCCUUGGUCGAAAAUGUUCUCUAUCCUCAGCUCAGUAUUCUCUGAUCUUCCAAUCAUCAAAAACCUUAGUAUUAUCUAGGUAUUGUCCAUGAAGCAGUUUUUUUUUUUUUUUUUGAUAUUGUCGAACGAAGGAAAAUUCAACUGGACGAGGAACUAGGUCUGUCUAGAUUCUUUCUUGGUAUCUCUCAUUUGGCGAUUUUUUUUUUGCAGAUGUACCAUCAAGACAUAGGGAUAUGCCAAAAUAAAAGAAGAAAUCCUUCUGAGUAUCAAUAAUCAAUUAGUAGCAUAUUUUGGUAAAAACCGUCGAUGCCAAGGAAUAAUAGUUGUGUAUAUGGAUCAAAAUCAAUACAAUCAUGAUUAGGAUUACAUUUGGAUAUGGAAACCACCUCUACCCAGCUAAAAUACGUCAGGGAUCUGGACGGCUCAGUCUUUUAUCCAAUAUGAAAAACUUUCAAGGAAAUGGAUGAUUUGGGAUUAUUUAUUUAUGCUUAUAUUCAGAUUUGGUUCUCAUUCUGCAAGAUAACUUCAUAUUAUGAAUCUGAUGUUCAAUCGUUACUGGCUCAUGAAGUAUCAAAUAAUAAGCAAUAUAUUUCGAAAUGCUUUGGUGUACUAUUUUGCCUUUAUCAUGCUUUAUCGCUGAUUUCUUUCUUUUCAGAUUUACGAAGUGCCGCCCUGAAGUAUAUAUAUAUAUAUAUAGUAUCAAAAUAUUGGACCUUUACAUGAAGGCGUCUUCCAGAAAUGAACUCAGAGCAGACCAUCAAGCUAUCCCAAAAUGAUAUGAAUCUGCUGCCGCCUUAGAGAUGACACAAAAUGACAGCAUAUAUGGAGAUUAAAAGCUCGGCAAUGGAUAUAGCCUUUCGAAAGGAAAAAAAAGUUCUCAUUGUAGUUCCUGUUAUUCCUUAAAGCUCCGUCACCAUGAGUUGUAUCUUGCUAACAAAGAUAUGAGUGUUUCUUCAAAAUUAGGGGUGGAUUUUGGAUCUCAACGGUAAUCUGCUUGUAGCAUACCCAUGGUCAAUUCAUCUUGGCAUUAAGGAAGGACUGGUGGUCAAGCAACAAACCUGUAAAGAAAGUAUCCUACGUUGUUUAAAAUUAGCACAUCAAAGAGGUAGUAGUUCUUCGUGAUACACGAGUGGACAUUGAAUGGCUAUAAUGUUUCUCAUAACAUUUGAUUCCAAUAGAGAGCAUUGAUUUGCUAAAUUUAUUUACUUUAAAUCCUAAUGACGUGGACUAGCUAGAAUGGAAAAUUUAGUCCAGGUUGUAUAAAGAAAAAUGGUGAUGGAUCAAGUAAGACAUGGAAGUGCUGGCAUUUUAGAAUUUUGGUUUGAAUUAAAUGGUUGCAUCCUAAAGCCUCCUUAUAGCAUAGGCAUUGUCGGUUUAUCAUGAAUGCUUUCUUCAAGAGUGACGCUUCACCGUAGAGGAGACCAGGUAUUGUCUAAUCUAUGAUUGUUGGGUUUAAGGGAAGUGGAAGAUACAAGUCGCACGAUGAUGCAUUAUGAACUUGCUUCAACUGUUUGGAAAUUAUUCAUUUUGUUUUUGGGAUUAAGUUGGGUAUUGUUUUUGGUAUUGUUGGGUAUUGUUUAAACUCAAUUUGAGGGUUUGGAGCUACAUUAGGUUGGAAGGAAGCUAUAGAGCUAUGUUGGCCCGAAUGUUCCAUAUGCAAUAAUUUGGGAGCAAGGAAAGAAUGCAAUGCUAGAUACCAUUGGAAGGGGAAACAAGAACACAAAUGAUCUUUUAUUUUCAGUAAAACAGUCAUUUAUUCUGUGGUGCUCCGAUGAAGACUCAGUCAGGAUGCUUCAUUUCACAAUUUAUGUUUAACUGGGAGGAGAUUGUGUAUUGAUAUAAAAGAUCAUUUUUCCCGUCGUUUUUAUUGAUAGAAAUUGUUGAUCGUCCUUUGUAAAUAUUUUUUAUCCUUUAUUAAGUAACUUUUUCUUUCUCAAA